rnacentral:tRNA from 1 species
GUUGCUAUAGCUCAAAGGCUAGAGUGCGAUACUGUUAAUAUUGAGAGGAAGGUCCGAUCCCUUCUAGUGACU